rnacentral:rRNA from 1 species
GUGCCAGCAGCCGCGGUAAUACGGAGGGUGCAAGCGUUAUCCGGAUUCACUGGGUUUAAAGGGUGCGUAGGCGGCCUGUUAAGUCAGUGGUGAAAGCCCGCAGCUCAACUGCGGAACUGCCAUUGAAACUGACAGGCUGGAGUAUAAUUGAUGUGGGUGGAAUACAACAUGUAGCGGUGAAAUGCUUAGAUAUGAUGUAGAACGCCGAUCGCGAAGGCAGCUCACAAAAUUAUUACUGACGCUGAGGCACGAAAGCAUGGGGAGCAAACAGGAUUAGAUACCCUGGUAGUCC